GGAGAGGUGGCCGAGUGGUCGAAGGCGACGGUCUCGAAAACCGUUAUAUCUGCAAGGGUAUCGAGGGUUCGAAUCCCUCCCUCUCCGCCA
rnacentral:tRNA from 2 species